ACAAAAGAUAAUAAAAUGAAAUAAGAUGAGAUUAAAAUAAACAGCUAAGAAAGUGACGUUUGGAGAGAUGAAUGGAGAAAAUGCUCUUAGCACUGAUGCUAAUCCUUUUCAAAAUCCAAACUAUGUGUUUCUGGUGGAUAAAAUGACCACACCCUACACACAGUUAGCUACCAAGGCUAGCUACUUUACCGCAGCUGUGCCCAGAAACACUCCUACACCAACACCAGGAAAAAUGUGGAUGUUAGCUUAUUGUUGGCGAUCGAUUAGUGGUGGCUGUCAGGUUGUUUUAUAGGACAAAGUUAGGAGCUGCGGGGUUUAAAAUGAGCAACACUGCCAGCUACCACUGCUAGCAUAUCAGGCUACAUUACAGAGGUUGAUAUGCUGUGAUACAAACAGCAAUGUGCUGGGGCUUAGCUAACCUGCAGGUAAAACAACAGUCAUGAAAUAAUCUAAUCUAGCCAAAAAAACCCAGACUUACUCUGUUGUCUUUCCUCCUGCUUAAAGUUCUCUGCAUUAUAGAGAACACACUUAGCUGCUCCCCCGCCACUUCAACCCCGCCAAGAUUGAACAAGUUGUAUUAGCUUUCUCCUAAUUAUUACCUGUCAACGUUCAGUCUGAACCUUCACACUGAGUUGCUCCUAGUACAGCUCUCUUCCUCAUGGUCUGGAUUGUGGAAAGCAAUUUAGCAGUUGUGUUUGCCUCAGGGUUGGCGCCAACGGCCUUCAUCUGCACACUGGCUGUUGAACCAACGUCAGGAUCAGAUUCUGACCUUCAGCGAUGGGGUCUGGACUUUCAGGUGGUUUUAGGCAGAAGUGUGUGCAUUUCUACAUUGGAGGAGGGGAAAAUGCUGGUGUUGUCAUACAGAAGUGAAACUAGAGAUAGAAGUAGGUAGUCUAAAAAUACAAACAGCAAGUUUGUAAUUCAGCUCUGAUCCACUCACCAGUCUGUCGUGUUGAAAUAAAUAACAUAAUUAUAAAGGCA